rnacentral:rRNA from 1 species
AUUGAACGCUGGCGGCAUGCCUUACACAUGCAAGUCGAACGGCAGCACGGGAGCAAUCCUGGUGGCGAGUGGCGAACGGGUGAGUAAUGUAUCGGAACGUACCUUUCAGUGGGGGAUAACGUAGCGAAAGUUACGCUAAUACCGCAUAUUCUGUGAGCAGGAAAGCAGGGGAUCGCAAGACCUUGCGCUGAUUGAGCGGCCGAUAUCAGAUUAGCUAGUUGGUGAGGUAAAGGCUCACCAAGGCGACGAUCUGUAGCGGGUCUGAGAGGAUGAUCCGCCACACUGGAACUGAGACACGGUCCAGACUCCUACGGGAGGCAGCAGUGGGGAAUUUUGGACAAUGGGCGCAAGCCUGAUCCAGCCAUGCCGCGUGAGUGAAGAAGG